GUUUUGGGGUGUUACAGCCGGUUUAGGGGUAUUGCAGUGGGGUUUGAGGUAUUACAGCUUAUUUUGGUGUGUUGCAGCUGGUUUUGGAGUAUUACAGCUGUUUUUUGGUGUGUUGCAGCUGGUUUUGGGGUAUUACAGCUGUUUUUUUGAGUGUUGCAGUGGGUUUUGGGGUAUUACAGCUGUUUUUUGGAGUGUUGCAGUGGGUUUUGGGGUAUUACAGCUGUACUUGGUGUGUUGCAGCUGUAUUUGGGAUAUUACAGCUGUAUUUGGGGUGUUACAGCUGUAUUUGGGGUAUUACAGCUGUUUUUUGGGGUGUCGCCGAGCCAGCAUCACCCGGCAGCCCCUUCUCCCCUGCUGCCACCAUCCCUCCUGUCCCUGCCCCAGCUCCUGAGCCGAUGCUGCUCCAGGCUGAGCCCUGCCAGCCCUGUCCCUUGUCCCCGUGUCGCAGCGGGGCCGCUCUGCCGCCGCCCCAUCGCUCUGUGCAUGUGUUUGUUUUGUUUCUCUCCGCUCGUGGGGGUGUUUUCUCCUCGUCGAAUUGUCCCCGCUGUGCUCGUGUUGACUCGUUUGCUGUUCUCUUGCCUCUGAUCCAGUCUCCGUACACACCCCAAAAAAAAAUAACACACCAAAAAAACCCCCAACCCCAAUAACAACAACACCCGAACCCAGCAACAACCCCAGGCAAAGAGGGCUGAGUUGGGAGCAAAUUUGGCAGCAGGGAGUGGGCACAGCAAGGUCAGGGCUGGGCAAGGAGCUGGGCAGAGCCUGGGGAAGGGAAAACAGGGAUGAGAAGUGUGGGAAGUGCAGGACAGCGGAGUGGGAAGUGUGGGCCCCGUCUCAGCGCUCGCCCGCCAGAUGCUCCGGGGGAGGCUGCAGGCUCUGGUGCUGGGGGGGAUCUUGUGGGGUAUUUUUGGAGCAAAGACACAGCUCAAAACUCCAUGUGCUGGUUCUCCAGAGCUGGGAUUGGUGCUGGGAAUGUUCUCCUGUGUUCCUGGUGUGAGGAAGCCUGUCUGGGAAUGUUCUCCUGUGGUUUUGGUGUGAGGAGCCCCUCUGGGAAUGUUCUCCUGUGGUUUUGGUGUGAGGAGCCCCUCUGGGAAGGUUCUCCUGUGGUUUUGGUGUGAGGAGCCCCUCUGGGAACGUUCUCCUGUGGUUUUGGUGUGAGGAGCCCUGGCCUGGCCGCCUGCACGGGGAAUGGUUGGGAAGGAGAGGUGUGGAAAGCAGAAAUCCAUUGCCUCACCCAGUAGCUCUUUUUUAAACUCAAAUCCCAUCCUCAGUUCUGGCUCUGCUGAAUAAACCCCUGGCCAAUAUAAACAACAAACAGUGAGAAGGGCCCUUCCUCUUUGAGGAACAGUUUGGGAAGAUGUCUCCUGUAUCCCAUCCAUGCAUCCAUCCACUGUGCCCUCUCACUGCUGAGCCAGCCAGGGACACCUCAGCUGGCCCAUCUGGCACCACCUCAUCCAUAAGAAGCCCAGGAGAGAGCCUGGGAUGGUGUCCCAGGCACUCACAGCACGCUGGGGUGGGUUUAGUUACUCUCACUGCUGUUCUACCUCAUUUUCUGGUUGCAUUUUCAGCUGGGGGAAGAAGAAUCCCUGCUAAAAAGGGGUGUUGAAAACAGCCACUGAGGUGAUGAAGGCACUGGAGCAUCUCUCCUUUGAGGGAACUGGGAAAGCUGGGACUGAUCAUGCUGGGGAAGGAUCAAUCCCUGUAGGGAGAGUGCAAAGAAAUGGGAGCAGGCUCUUUAAGAGGUGUCCAGUGAUGGACCAGAAGCACGAAAUGAAACAUGGGGGGUUCUACUUGAACAUCCUGCACGUGGUGAGAAGGGAGGGUGAUGCUCACCUGUGCUGGAGGGAGAGGCUGGCAGGAGCUGAGGGGCACAGGGAGCUCAGUGUCACUUCAGAUCUCACCUCCCAGCACUGUUGAACAUCCAGCCCGGCAUUGAUGAAGAGGUUUGGGUCAUCACAGAGGUGAUGAAGCUUCUUCUGCAUUCAGGGGGCUUGGAGGGUAAAAACAGCCAACAGAACCUCCCAGAGCACCUCUGGAUGUGGAAGAGCAGAAGUUCUUCCAUGAUUAGAGCAUGUGGUACAAAUAGAGACACUUGGAGCCAUCAUUUUCCAGCCUGGAUGCACCGGUGGGACAGUUCUGGGUUUCAGUGAGCAGCAGUGGGACGGAGAGCAGGGAAUUAUCUGUUGGGCAGGGACACAGGACUGCUGCUUCCACCCUGGGAUGGGGUGAAAGUGAAAAGUCCCCUCAGCCCAGCUCCCUGGGGUGGCCAGGAGGACAAGGAGCAGCAAGUGAACUUCCUGAAGGAAAUAAAAGACUCAAACAAAAAGAGCCAGGCCUGUGCCUUCCCUGCAGGUGGGGCAGAGGAGAGGGAAGCAGAGGAGUGGGAAGAUGUGGCAGAGUCAGGAGGAGCCGCUCGGCCUGGCUGGGCUGUGGGGGUCCUGCUCCGGGUGUUCAGAGCUCUGCGUGUCCCCACGUGUCCCCUGCAUGGAGCCCGGCCCUCCUUUGGCACCUCCAGCCAUUUGCGCUCGUUUCUUUUGCAGUUUCACCUCUCGGCAUUCCCAGCAGGGCUGACCCCGGGGUGGCUCAGUCCCAGCUCCCACCGAGGCAGAGGAAGCCCUGCACUCACUGCAGGGAGGUUUUUCACUUGUGAAACACCAGGACAGAGCUUGGAGUGCUGUUUUCCCUGAUCGUUAAUCCCUCUUUUCUUUUUUUUCCUGCACCCAAACCACUUCUGCAUGCAGCAGGCAGGGAGAGGCACAGCACAGACUACCAGAGAGAGAGAUUAAACUCUGCUCCGAGUCUAAUCACAGGAUAAUCUCUACUGUGGUUGAAAAGCAAUAAUGGCUAAUUUUUUUACUAAAUACACUUGCACAGGCAGAUGUCACCCAGGGCUUGUGCUCUCCAGUGGCCAGAGGGGUGGCAGCCUGUGCUGAGGCUCCGGGGAGCAGCUGAAGGUGCAGAGAGCUUGGGGUGGGGGAGGCAAUAGAAAAAGCACACUGUGAUUUUAUUUGGGUCAACGAGUGAGUGUAUUUCAGCCAUUCCUUCCCUUUCAAUAAGAUGUUUGUAUAAUAGAGAACCAGUUCAGCUCCUGGAACUAAGCCCGUCCUUUGCUGUUUGUCAGUAAAAUAGUUUUUUGCAUGUUUUUUGCAUCUGAGUGGUUUUUCCAACCCUUUGAAGCCAGUGAUUCCCCCUGGGGCACAGCUGGGGCACCACAGAGCAGCAGCUCCCCGGUUUGGGGCAGGGGGGUGACAGGAGGAGGUGCAAACAAGGCUGGGGGGUGGAGUGGGAGAGCUGUCCUAACCUCUGAGUUCUGUGACAUCACAGGACACUGUCCCAGAUUUUCACCUGCCUGGCUCCUGCUCGUUGGGAUAACAGGGGAGCUCUAAGAUCUUUAAAAGAAGAUAAAAUAUUUCACUAAAUUAAAAAAAAAAUAUUAAAUAUUAAAUUUAAAUAUUAAUAUUAAAAUGUUUCACUAAAAUUCACUAAAAUUCUGGAUGCAAGCUGCCUCCAGAGAGGAGCCUGGGCCUCUCCUGCCCGUUGCCUGCAAGGGCAGGAAAGGCAGGAAGAGGGCAGGAAUCUCAGGCCUUUGGCAUGGAAAAGUGGGAUCAUUUCCCAUUCCAGCAGUACUGGAAUCUGCCACCAUGAACCAGUUCUUCAGCGUCUCCCAUUCUGCUCCUUGCUGGCACAGGGCCACCCACACAGAACAGCUCUGACCCUGCCACAAAGGUGGUGAUGCAGGACUGGUUCCACGAGUCUGGGCACAGCUGGGCACAUCUGGGCACGUCCCAGGCUUGGUGCAGACAAAGCAGAGCAGACAAUAAACCCCAGCACCCGAGACAAGGGCUGAUAGAAGAUUCUGAGUGGUUUUUCU
rnacentral:lncRNA from 1 species